CGGCGAUGAGGAGAGAACCUAGUGUGUUGAGCUACGGUGAUAGUUGUUAUACGCUAUUCUGAGCCGAUA